AGUGUCAAAUCGAUUUGUUUAUAUUUAUAAGCAGCAGCAGCGGAAUUUUACUGAAAAACAGAGAGAAACAGAAACGGGCUGGAAAUUAAUGCUGCAGCAUGCACUCGGCUCAUUUGAAUAGCGACUAUUUUAAAGCUGGCCCAAUCAUCUUGAAUUGAUUUCCAGCCUCCGUGCAAGAGCAAGUACACGGGGCCGUCGAGUUGUUGAGUCAUCAACAAUUAACAAAAAAACAAGGGCAGCAGCAGUAGCAGCCUUGGGGGCGAACGUUAACACCACCCGACGAGAUAGACGGUGCCACAGGUGAGAGGCGCACACGAGACAAGGCGUAGUCUUUCGCCUUGAUGGCGUAAGCUGAUCCAACAAACCACCCCAUCAUCAUCGCCCAUCAACCACACAGGCGUUACGCGUCGUUGACUAAGAGCACACAAACACACACGCACGUUUCUCUGACGCUCCGCUCACCCAAAAAAAAACUAUGGAGGACUACAAAUUCCUGUUCAAAAUCGUGCUCGUUGGAAACGCGGGCGUUGGCAAAACUUGCCUGGUGCGCCGCUUCACCCAGGGUCUGUUCCCACCCGGCCAGGGGGCCACGAUUGGCGUGGACUUUAUGAUCAAGACCGUGGAGGUGGAGGGUGAGAAGAUCAAGCUACAGAUUUGGGACACUGCCGGCCAGGAGCGAUUCCGUUCGAUCACGCAAAGCUACUAUCGCUCCGCGCACGCCCUGAUCCUGGUGUACGACAUCAGUUGCCAGCCCACGUUCGACUGCCUGCCCGACUGGCUGCGGGAGAUACAGGAGUACGCCAACUCCAAGGUCCUCAAGAUACUCGUUGGCAACAAAACGGAUCGCGACGACCGCGAGAUACCCACACAAAUUGGCGAAGAGUUUGCCAAACAACAUGACAUGUACUUCCUCGAAACAUCCGCCAAAGAGGCGGAGAAUGUGGAGCGUUUGUUCUACGAGAUUGCCGCCGAACUGAUUGGCCAGGCCCGCAGCAAAGACGGCAGCAGUGCUGCAGCCGCGGCGGCCGCCCAGCGGCAGUCGGACGGCAGUUCCAUUGGAUUAGCCAGCUUAGGUGCCAAAGCAGCGCAGAGCAAUUGCUGUGGCGGAUUGGCCAAUGCUGGCGGAGGUGGCAGCGGCAGUGGCUCUAGCACUAGUCAAGGCGGCUGAGAAGCGGCAGCCAAACAACUAGAAACUGAGCAGCUAAACUGAAAUUUGUAACUAGUUAAGGGCUUAAUCGUGAUAUUCAAUCUGAUCUUUUGAUAGAUAAUGUGACAUUCAUCUUCAGUCCGUUUUUUCCCAUGUAUUUAUUUAUAAUUAUUUCAAAUGCAAGAUAUUUGAUUUUCGUAGCGUAAAGUAGCCCAAAUCAAUUCACGAUUAAGAUCUUUCAAAACUAGCCAACACUUGACUAUGGAUGCUAAAUAUUUGUGUUAAAAAUCGAACUCCAUUGGAUGUGUAGUCUUAAAGCGUCUGAUUUUCUUGAUAAUUCAUGUAAGCAACAAUAAAAUGGAACGACUGAUUUUAAAACUCCAGAAUACAAAUCCAUUGAAAAUAGAACGGAUAAAAGUGUUUCGUAUUUUUUUUUUCACACGUGCCUAAACCCAAGUGUUUAAAAAAUUGUUGAAAUUUCAAAAAGUAUCCCAAUUUUGUUUUUUAUUUUUAAUUUUGUUUAUGUGAAGCGUAGUUAGGCGGAAAAUAUUGAAAGUAAUGUGUAACAAAGGGGCUAUGGCUAUGGCGUCAAACGAAAUCGUUAAAUGUCGCGUAAAGCGGAGAGCGAAAACGACAAGCACAUGG